GAAAAUCUCUAUCAAUCUUGUUCCAUGGAUAUGAACCCGUUCCGAACUAGACGUAUAUAAUCCAUCUGUCGUAAUAUAUAAAAAUUUUUUUUAGGUUUCUAUCACGUAGUUAAUAUAAUUCGUUAGGACGUAAUUGAUCGACUAGUUAGUUCACUUCCUAACACAAACGACUGCCACAAACCAAAAUUUGAAAAGCGGUCGACGGUUGUAAAAGGAGUUAGAACUUGUUUAUGACUAAGAAUUUCGCAUUGUCGCCGGAUUAAUAUAGUAUAAAAAUUUAAAACGACAUGGAUGGGGAUGUCGGUUGUCUUCGAAUAGGCUUAAAUGUUGAUAUACAAAGGACAGAUGGUCGAAUUCAUUCUGCUGUCAUUAGUGGUAUUAAUUCAGAUAAUAGAAGUGUAACUGUAGAAUGGUUUGAGAAAGGAGAAACUAAAGGAAAAGAGGUAUGUGAUUAGUAAAUUAGA